rnacentral:lncRNA from 1 species
AUGCCCCCACCCACCAGAGGCGUGGUUCACAGAGAAGUCGGUGAGCGGCCUGCAGCCGCACGGGUGCUGAGCCAGGGCUCUGAGUCCAGAGUCCGGAGUGGGACGUUGUGGGGGUCGCCGGCAGAGGCCACAGGCCCACAGGCACCCAAGAUGAGUUCACUGGUUGCCCCGGCACGUGUCAGCAGAGGGAGGCGGCAGCGGCUCCACGGGCGCCCCUGGUCAGGAAAGACCUCCCGCUGGAGAUGCCCCCAGGGAGCCAGCUCCGAAGGACGGACUUCCGAGCAGAGGCACAGCCUGAACAAAGACGGUGGUCCGGGGCUCCCCGCUGGUUCUGGGGCUGUGCUACGGCGAGAGAGGAGCCUGGACAGGCGGAGGGGGCCAGCCCCCGGAGCGACAGUUAACAGUUGUGCGUGCUACUCGCUCGCGGUACCUCGGCUGCCCCAGGCGCCUCUGAGUCGCGUGCUCCCUGCGUUUGUAUUUAGAGAGCGGAGCAGAUGGCGCGUGCAGUAACACUUCAAAUCAGGAUUCCAAAAGCACAUUAAAUUUAGAUUUAAUAAGACAGUUAUUGUAUGGAAAUUAAAGACCCAUUGAUUAUUCUCUGAGUAUUGAGGUCCAAUCCCUUAUCGCAUUAAUCGCAUGGACUGCACAGUCGCAGUGCCCGGGCCUCCCACCUUGCUGGGACCUUCAGUUUCCGAAGCCUCGUCCCUCUGAGCCCAACCCCAGGGCCCACGGCAGCUCCCCUGUUUGAGCCCAGCAAGGGUCAGGUGCCAUCCCGGGCUGACCUGGUGGAUGCCAUGGAAUCUUCCAGAAGUGUCUCUUACUUUGUCCAUCUUGCAGGAAAGGAAACUGAGGCUCAGGGAGGGGAAGGGAGUGCCACUCUGGCAGUGUGGAUGGCCAGGGCUCGGGGAGGGGGAGACGAGGGGAGGGAGGAAGAUGCAGUGGCAGAGCAGGCCGGGCGGGGCGGGGGAGCCUGCUGGGGGCUGGACGCCCCUGGACAUCGGGGCCUGAUGCGAAAAGCUUUGCUGAGCAGGGGCAGGGUCGGGGGUGCAGCACUUCCCGGCCUCGGCCGCUCCCUCCCAGCACUGGCCUCUCCCGCUCUCCCCUCCUCCUCCUCCUCCAACGAGCAGCCCGCCCUGCAGGGGAGAGAGGAGCCCUGGGAAGGGGCCAUUCCGGGAGCAGGCUGGCCCCCAUGGCCCCGCAGGCCAGCCCAUCUCAGCCCCCAGUGCCCCCCACUUCCCCUCAAACCAGGGGCCGGACGCUGCUAAGUGCAUGAUGGUCUCCUGUGGCCGCAAUAAAUCUGGUCACUCUGUCCCUCUCGAGACA